GAAGCUGCUGCUUAUGGGCUCUGCCUUGCAGAGAUUGGUGAGAUGAUGAGCAGGGAGUUUCGUCAUGGGGAGGAGGAACCCAGCGAGCUUGAAGUAGUUUGUUUGGAGGCAAGAAGGAUGAUUGCUGAGAGAGAGAUUUUAUCUCCAAAGGCUGAAGUUGAUGAGGAGGAGUUCCAAUUUGACAUAGAUUACGAGGAUGCAGGGUAUGCUUUUAGUCCAAAUAUGGCCUCUGAAAACUUCAUGACCAGGAACCCAUUUCAGUUUCCAAUUGGAGGAGGAAAUGGCCGCACUGCUUUUAGUCCAAAUAUGGCCUCUGAAGACUUCAUGAACAGGAACCCAUUUCAGUUUCCAUUUGGAGGAGGAAAUGGCCGCACUCAACUCUUUAAGCUAGACGAAAGCAUUGAGGAAGAAGAGAGUGAAGAGGAGGAAACAAGCUUUAACUAUGUUCCUCCCCCCGCAAAGAAUGUGUCUGAGUCAAAAGUAUCAAUGUCCCUCAAGAAUAUUAGUUUAGGUGACAAGAAGCAGAAGCAUCCUAAUUUUUCAGGAACAAAGCCUGAAAAUGGCGAUCUAGCUAGAGCAUCGUCCGGCCACAGGAGCGCGAAUGAGCAGCUCCCUGUGAGUUCCAGCUUUUUGAAGCUAGCAGAUAUGAAUGAGGAAGAAUGGCGUCUGUUUCUAGAGAAGUUCCAAGAACUGCUGUACCCAGCUUUCGACAAGGGCAAAUCAGUCACUGUUGGUCAGAGGCAGAUACAAAGGCUUGGGACUUCUUGCCAGUUUUGAGAUCAAGGUACUACGAUAUCUCACUACUAGGAUGAGUUAAUACCUAAAUAACUCCCUGCAGGCUGCUUGAAGUGAAGGAUUUCUAGCUUAGGUUUGUUUUAUGGAUAUGCUCCCUUAAAGAAGUUAUAUAGGGCGGCAGUAGCUUUGAUAGGAGAUGCUGUAAAUAUUUUUGGAGGCACCUGAGUGAAAGUGCUGAGUAGAAUUGGUGUUGUUUCCGUUUGAUGUCUUCAUUUUAUUUCCCUUUUACUUUGUCACGGCGACUGUUAGAUAAAUAAUUUGUAGAAUGAAAUCUGAAAAAAGAUAAAAAAAAAAAAGUUAUGUAAAUGUUGGAUUUGUUCUUUUUAUGUUUUGUGUUUGCUCUUGUAUUUUAUGGAGUGAGUUUUUCUGUCAAACGUUAUAUUACCCUUUUUACCAGUUUUUGUAUAAAUUGUCAUUUAGCGUUCUUUUCUCA
rnacentral:lncRNA from 1 species